AGACAUAGGAUGCGAGCGUUGUCCGGAUUCAUUGGGCGUAAAGAGUUCGUAGGUGGUUUGUUAAGUCUGAUGUUAAAGAUCGGGGCUCAACCCUGAGACUGCAUUGGAUACUGGCAGACUUGAGUAUGGUAGAGGCUAGUGGAAUUCCCAGUGUAGCGGUGAAAUGCGUAGAUAUUGGGAAGAACACCGGUGGCGUAGGCGACUAGCUGGGCCAUAACUGACGCUGAGGAACGAAAGCCAGGGUAGC
rnacentral:rRNA from 1 species